AUUGAACGCUGGCGGCAGGCCUAACACAUGCAAGUCGAGCGGAUGAAGGGAGCUUGCUCCUGGAUUCAGCGGCGGACGGGUGAGUAAUGCCUAGGAAUCUGCCUGGUAGUGGGGGAUAACGUCCGGAAACGGGCGCUAAUACCGCAUACGUCCUGAGGGAGAAAGUGGGGGAUCUUCGGACCUCACGCUAUCAGAUGAGCCUAGGUCGGAUUAGCUAGUUGGUGGGGUAAAGGUCUACCAAGGCGACGAUCCGUAACUGGUCUGAGAGGAUGAUCAGUCACACUGGAACUGAGACACGGUCCAGACUCCUACGGGAGGCAGCAGUGGGGAAUAUUGGACAAAGGGCGAAAGCCUGAUCCAGCCAUGCCGCGUGUGUGAAGAAGGUCUUCGGAUUGUAAAGCACUUUAAGUUGGGAGGAAGGGCAGUAAGUUAAUACCUUGCUGUUUUGACGUUACCAACAGAAUAAGCACCGGCUAACUUCGUG
rnacentral:rRNA from 1 species